rnacentral:RNase_P_RNA from 1 species
AGAGUUAGCUAAGACAGUCGCUCUUUUUUUUGAAAAAUAAACUACACGAAAAAUAAAGAGAGGAAAGUCCGGGCUCCACAGGGCGAUGGUGCCAGAUAACAUCUGGGAAGUGUAAACUUACGACAAGUGCAACAGAAAAUAAACCGCCAAAAUAUUAUUUUAAUAAAAUAAUUACAGGUAAGGGUGAAAAGGCGUGGUAAAAGCACACCGUACUUCUGGAAACAGAACGUAGCAAUGUAAACUCCACCUGGAGCAAGGCUAAAUCAGGAACAAUAUUUUAAAGUCCAAAUCAAUAUCCUAGGUAAGCCGCUGGAAUUAAUAUGCGAAUAUUAAUCUUAGAUUAAUGACUGUCCUUGACAGAACCCGGCUUAACAGCUAACUCUAAAA